rnacentral:rRNA from 1 species
AGAGUUUGAUCAUGGCUCAGAACGUACGCUGGCGGCACGCCUAACACAUGCAAGUCGAACGAAGUAGCAAUACUUAGUGGCAGACGGGUGAGUAACAUGUAGGUAUCUGCCCUUUGGCCUGGAAUAACACGAGGAAACUUGUGCUAAUACCGGAUAAGUCUUUACGGAGAAAGCUUUAUGCACCAUUGGAUGAGCCUGCACUUGAUUAGUUUGUUGGUGGGGUAAUGGCCCACCAAGACUGUGAUCAAUAGCUGAUUUGAGAGGAUGAUCAGCCACAUUGGGACUGAGACACGGCCCAAACUCCUACGGGAGGCAGCAGUGGGGAAUCUUGCACAAUGGAGGAAACUCUGAUGCAGCGAUGCCGCGUGAGUGAAGAAGGCCCUUGGGUUGUAAAGCUCUUUCGUCGGGGAAGAAAAUGACUGUACCCGAAUAAGAAGGUCCGGCUAACUUCGUGCCAGCAGCCGCGGUAAUACGAAGGGACCUAGCGUAGUUCGGAAUUACUGGGCUUAAAGAGUUCGUAGGUGGUUAAAAAAGUUGGUGGUGAAAUCCCAGAGCUUAACUCUGGAACUGCCAUCAAAACUUUUUAGCUAGAGUAUGAUAGAGGAAAGCAGAAUUUCUAGUGUAGAGGUGAAAUUCGUAGAUAUUAGAAAGAAUACCAAUUGCGAAGGCAGCUUUCUGGAUCAUUACUGACACUGAGGAACGAAAGCAUGGGUAGCGAAGAGGAUUAGAUACCCUCGUAGUCCAUGCCGUAAACGAUGUGUGUUAGACGUUGGAAAUUUAUUUUCAGUGUCGCAGCGAAAGCGAUAAACACACCGCCUGGGGAGUACGACCGCAAGGUUAAAACUCAAAUGAAUUGACGGGGACCCGCACAAGUAGUGGAGCAUGUGGUUUAAUUCGAAGAUACGCGCAGAACCUUACCAACACUUGACAUGUUCGUCGCGACUUUAAGAGAUUAAAGUUUUCGGUUCGGCCGGACGAAACACAGGUGCUGCAUGGCUGUCGUCAGCUCGUGUCGUGAGAUGUUGGGUUAAGUCCCGCAACGAGCGCAACCCUCACUUUUAGUUGCCAUCAUUUAGUUGGGCACUCUGAAAGAACUGCCAGUGAUAAGCUGGAGGAAGGUGGAGAUGACGUCAAGUCCUCAUGGCCCUUACGUGUUGGGCUACACACGUGCUACAAUGGUAUCUACAACAGGAAGCAAAACCGCGAGGUUAAGCAAAUCCUUAAAAGAUACCUCAGUUCGGAUUGCACUCUGCAACUCGAGUGCAUGAAGCUGGAAUUACUAGUAAUCGUGGAUCAGCGUGCCACGGUGAAUGCGUUCCCGGGUCUUGUACACACCGCCCGUCACACCAUGGGAGUUGGUUCUACCUUAAGGCAAGGUUUCAAACCCUUGACCACGGUAUAGUCAGCGACUGGGGGGAAGUCGUAGCAAGGUA